CACAAGAACAGCAUGGGGGAAACUGCCCCCAUGAUUCAGUUACCUCCACCUCGCCUCUCCCUUGACUUGUGGGAAUUACAAGGAUUAUACUUCAAGAUGAGAUUUGGCUGGGGACACAAAGCCUGAGCAUAUCACUAUCGCUCUCAGUCUUGUCCGACUGGCCUCGUGUAGGAGAAGGCUCUCACCUAUCUGUCUGACCAGAGAUUUUAAGGCUAACACUCCUUGUUCCUGUGAACCAACCAGCAAUCUCCAGCUGCAGCUCAGAAAGAAGGAGAGGAUGGCAUAAAUGAGGUCUAGGAAACUCCAAGACUACUGACUGUAGGGGGUAUAGAAACAUAGGCCAUCAAACUCCAAAUGGUCGUGCAACCGGAGCCUCGGAAGAUGGCGCCUUCUGCCGGGAACCCUUAGAUAGGCUUCUGAGGGAGCUCUGACUGCCGUUUCCCAAAACACCGCUCCCUGUUAGCAGGAAGCAGUUUAGAUCGGUCUUCGUCCUCACCCCUAUCCUUGUUCUAACAGUAGUUUGAUGUACUUCUUGAGAGGGGGGAAUGAGACAGCCAAGUGUAAAGGGGUCCCCAGAGAACCUCUGACAAACCCGCACACUGGGAGGAAUGUGCACUGGGGUGGAGCCUCUGGAAGUUCGUGCUGAGGAGCCUGGCCCCUCCUCUUCCAGGGUGGAACCUGGGAUUCAACCUGAGAGGUGGGAAGCGUGUACUAGCAGGACUCUCACUCUGCCGAGGGUCCCCGUUUCCCCGCUUUUUUUUU
rnacentral:lncRNA from 1 species